rnacentral:tRNA from 1 species
UCCACAGUAGCUCAGUGGUAGAGCUAUCGGCUGUUAACCGAUCGGUCGUAGGUUCGAGUCCUAAGCUGGAGGG